rnacentral:rRNA from 1 species
UAGGGAAUCUUCCACAAUGGACGCAAGUCUGAUGGAGCAACGCCGCGUGAGUGAAGAAGGUUUUCGGACCGUAAAGCUCUGUUGUUGGUGAAGAAGGAUAGAGGUAGUAACUGGCCUUUAUUUGACGGUAAUCAACCAGAAAGUCACGGCUAACUACGUGCCAGCGGCCGCGGUAAUCGUAGGUGGCAAGCGUUGUCCGGAUUUAUUGGGCGUAAAGCGAGCGCAGGCGGAAGAAUAAGUCUGAUGUGAAAGCCCUCGGCUUAACCGAGGAAUUGCAUCGGAAACUGUUUUCUUGAGUGCAGAAGAGGAGAGUAGAACUCCAUGUGUAGCGGUGGAAUGCGUAGAUAUAUGGAAGAAUACCAGUGGCGAAGGCGGCUCUCUGGUCUGCAACUGACGCUGAGGCUCGAAAGCAUGGGUAGCGAACAGGAUUAGAUACCCUGGUAGUCCAUGCCGUAAACGAUGAGUGCUAAGUGUUGGGAGGCUUCCGCCUCUCAGUGCUGCAGCUAACGCAUUAAGCACUCCGCCUGGGGGAGUACGACCGCAAGGUUGAAAC